rnacentral:misc_RNA from 1 species
GAUGAAGAACGUAGUGAAAUGCGAUACUUGGUGUGAAUUGCAGAAUCCCGUGAACCAUCGAGUCUUUGAACGCAAGUUGCGCCCGAAGCCAUUAGGCCGAGGGCACGCUUGCCUGGGCGUCACACGUCGUUGCCCCCCCAUCUACUCCUUCGGGAUUGCGGGGGGCGGAUGAUGGCCUCCCGUGCGCCUCGCCGCGCGGUUGGCAUAAAUGCCAAGUCCUCGGCGACGCACGCCACGACAAUCGGUGGUUGCGAAACCUCGGUUGCCCGUCGUGUGCGGUCGUCGCGCAUCGAGGGCUCGAAAAAAUUGCCGGGUUCCGGCUCGGCUUUCAACGCGACCCCAGGUCAGGCGGGGUUACCCGCUGAAUUUAAGCAUAUCAAUAAGCGGAGGA